CGAAAGGGAAACAGCCCAGACCACCAGCUAAGGUCCCAAAAUAUAUGUUAAGUGGAAAAGGAUGUGGCGUUGCCCAGACAACUAGGAUGUUGGCUUAGAAGCAGCCAUCAUUUAAAGAGUGCGUAAUAGCUCACUAGUCGAGUGACACUGCGCCGAAAAUGUACCGGGGCUAAACAUAUUACCGAAGCUGUGGAUUGUCCUUUGGACAAUGGUAGGAGAGCGUUCUAAGGGCGUUGAAGCAUGAUCGUAAGGACAUGUGGAGCGCUUAGAAGUGAGAAUGCCGGUGUGAGUAGCGAAAGACGGGUGAGAAUCCCGUCCACCGAUUGACUAAGGUUUCCAGAGGAAGGCUCGUCCGCUCUGGGUUAGUCGGGUCCUAAGCUGAGGCCGACAGGCGUAGGCGAUGGAUAACAGGUUGAUAUUCCUGUACCACCUAUAAUCGUUUUAAUCGAUGGGGGGACGCAGUAGGAUAGGCGAAGCGUGCGAUUGGAUUGCACGUCUAAGCAGUAAGGCUGAGUAUUAGGCAAAUCCGGUACUCAUUAAGGCUGAGCUGUGAUGGGGAGAAGACAUUGUGUCUUCGAGUCGUUGAUUUCACACUGCCGAGAAAAGCCUCUAGAUAGAAAAUAGGUGCCCGUACCGCAAACCGACACAGGUAGUCAAGAUGAGAAUUCUAAGGUGAGCGAGCGAACUCUCGUUAAGGAACUCGGCAAAAUGACCCCGUAACUUCGGGAGAAGGGGUGCUCUUUAGGGUUAACGCCCAGAAGAGCCGCAGUGAAUAGGCCCAAGCGACUGUUUAUCAAAAACACAGGUCUCUGCUAAACCGUAAGGUGAUGUAUAGGGGCUGACGCCUGCCCGGUGCUGGAAGGUUAAGAGGAGUGGUUAGCUUCUGCGAAGCUACGAAUCGAAGCCCCAGUAAACGGCGGCCGUAACUAUAACGGUCCUAAGGUAGCGAAAUUCCUUGUCGGGUAAGUUCCGACCCGCACGAAAGGCGUAACGAUUUGGGCACUGUCUCAACGAGAGACUCGGUGAAAUCAUAGUACCUGUGAAGAUGCAGGUUACCCGCGACAGGACGGAAAGACCCCGUGGAGCUUUACUGUAGCCUGAUAUUGAAAUUCGGCACAGCUUGUACAGGAUAGGUAGGAGCCUUUGAAACGUGAGCGCUAGCUUACGUGGAGGCGCUGGUGGGAUACUACCCUAGCUGUGUUGGCUUUCUAACCCGCACCACUUAUCGUGGUGGGAGACAGUGUCAGGCGGGCAGUUUGACUGGGGCGGUCGCCUCCUAAAAGGUAACGGAGGCGCUCAAAGGUUCCCUCAGAAUGGUUGGAAAUCAUUCAUAGAGUGUAAAGGCAUAAGGGAGCUUGACUGCGAGACCUACAAGUCGAGCAGGGUCGAAAGACGGACUUAGUGAUCCGGUGGUUCCGCAUGGAAGGGCCAUCGCUCAACGGAUAAAAGCUACCCCGGGGAUAACAGGCUUAUCUCCCCCAAGAGUUCACAUCGACGGGGAGGUUUGGCACCUCGAUGUCGGCUCAUCGCAUCCUGGGGCUGUAGUCGGUCCCAAGGGUUGGGCUGUUCGCCCAUUAAAGCGGUACGCGAGCUGGGUUCAGAACGUCGUGAGACAGUUCGGUCCCUAUCCGUCGUGGGCGUAGGAAAUUUGAGAGGAGCUGUCCUUAGUACGAGAGGACCGGGAUGGACAUACCUCUGGUGUACCAGUUGUCGUGCCAACGGCAUAGCUGGGUAGCUAUGUGUGGACGGGAUAAGUGCUGAAAGCAUCUAAGCAUGAAGCCCCCCUCAAGAUGAGAUUUCCCAACUUCGGUUAUAAGAUCCCUCAAAGAUGAUGAGGUUAAUAGGUUCGAGGUGGAAGCAUGGUGACAUGUGGAGCUGACGAAUACUAAUCGAUCGAAGACUUAAUCAA
rnacentral:rRNA from 1 species